UACAUGGGGUGCAAACGUUGCUCGGAAUUAUUGGGCGUAAAGCGCGCGUAGGCGGUUACUUAAGUCGGAUGUGAAAGCCCUCGGCUUAACUGAGGAAGUGCACCCGAAACUGAGUAGCUAGAGUACGAAAGGGAGGUCGCGGAAUUCCCGGUGUAGAGGUGAAAAUUCGUAGAUAUCGGGAGGAACACCGGUGGCGAAGGCGGCGACCUGGGUCGAGACUGACGCUGAGGCGCGAAAGCGUGGGGAGCAAACAGG
rnacentral:rRNA from 1 species